rnacentral:rRNA from 1 species
CGAAAGCCUGACGGAGCCAGACCGCGUGAGGGAAGAAAGCCUUUGGGUUGUAAACCUCUUUUCUCAGGGAAGAAACCUGACGGUACCUGAGGAAUCAGCCUCGGCUAACUCCGUGCCAGCAGCCGCGGUAAUACGGAGGAGGCAAGCGUUAUCCGGAAUUAUUGGUCGUAAAGCGUCCGCAGGUGGCGAUUCAAGUCUGCUGUCAAAGCACGGGGCUUAACGCCGUUAAGGCAGUGGAAACUGAAUGGCUAGAGUGCCGUAGGGGUAGAGGGAAUUCCCGGUGUAGCGGUGAAAUGCGUAGAGAUCGGGAAGAACAUCGGUGGCGAAAGCGCUCUACUGGACCACACCUGACACUCAGAGGACGAAAGCUAGGGGAGCG